rnacentral:rRNA from 1 species
AACGAACGCUGGCGGCGUGGAUAAGACAUGCAAGUCGAACGGGAACUUCAGCUGUAGCAAUACAGUUGAAGUUUUUAGUGGCGAACGGGUGCGUAACACGUGGGCAAUCUGCCGAGAAGUGGGGGAUAGCUCGCCGAAAGGCGAAUUAAUACCGCAUAUGAUCAGCUAAGACAUCUUAGCGACAUCAAAGCCGGGGCAACCUGGCGCUUUUUGAGGAGCCCGCGGCCUAUCAGCUAGUUGGUGAGGUAACGGCUCACCAAGGCUAUGACGGGUAGCUGGUCUGAGAGGACGACCAGUCACACUGGAACUGAGACACGGUCCAGACACCUACGGGUGGCAGCAGUCGAGUAAUUUUUCUCAAUGGGGCAACCCUGAAGGAGCGACGCCGCGUGGA